rnacentral:rRNA from 1 species
GACAGAGGUGCCGAGCGUAGGCGGAAUCACUGGGCUUAAAGCGUGUGUAGGCGGAUGGGUAAGUAACCUUGUGAAAUCCCCACGGCUCAACCGUGGAACUGCUCGGUAUACUGCUCGUCUUGAGCCAACUAGGGGCGACCGGAACAAACGGUGGAGCGGUGAAAUGCGUAGAUAUCGUUUGGAACGCCGAUGGUGAAAACAGGUCGCUGGGGUUGUGCUGACGCUGGAGACACGAAAGCCAGGGGAGCGAACGGG